rnacentral:piRNA from 1 species
UGCUGAUGGAGUCUAUUAGGAGAAAUUGC